rnacentral:rRNA from 1 species
CCCUUAGAUGUUCUGGGCCGCACGCGUGCUACACUUAGUGGAUCAGCGGGUCAGGUUGCGCGAAAGUGUUUCCUAAUCUUGAUAACCGCUCGUGAUGGGGAUUGCCGGUUGCAAUUUUCCGUCAUGAACGAGAAAUACCUUCUAAGCGCGGGUCAUCAUCCGGCGCUGAAUACGUCCCUACCCUUUGUACACACCGCCUGUCGCUCCUACCGAGUGGUCCGGUGAUGCUUUGGGAUCUGAGCAAAGACAGCGUUUCGCUCGUUUUUCCCGGAAAACUCAGUCGAACCUUAUCAUUCAGAGGAAGGAGAAGUCGUAACA